CUUAAUUUUGUCUGCUCUACAAUGGGUCAGAGGCCACCGCUGCCAUAGUGCUGAGUUCUUCUAAUGAAACACAUUGAUGGUACCGCCAGCCCCUCAGGACAACAAUAACCUGGACAUCCACCCAGCUUGGAGCCUAGUGGGAACAGAACAUGAAUAAAACAGGAUUUGGGAGAAUGAGUCAUGACAAGCGAGUCGAUGACUCUGCAUGAACAGACAGCAGGCCGGACCGCACGCCUCCCAGGUGUGACUUACUGCUUGAGACCUGGGGAGAGCUGAGUCACAUUUGCUCAUGGUUGGGUCUCUGGCUUUUGUUAAGAUGCACUCUACGGAGCACCUAAUUCAACCCAAACAGCUCCAAAGUAAAGGUUUAUGGAGGCCCUGCUCCCUAUAAAUCUUUAAAAAAUAAA